ACACACGCAGGCAACGCCCCCAGCUGGUGCCUGCCCCACUGCCCAGCGAGACGCGGCGCCGUCGCCUCCCACAGCCCCUGACCGGACGUGCAGGCCCUCCUCCACCGCGGGCGAGUCCCUACCACAGAACAGGGGCGGGCCGCUUCCUAGAGAAGUCCGCGCCUUCCCCCAGUGCGCGCGGGGCGGAGCCGGGCGGCUGAGGCACGUUGGCGGAGGGGCCGUUGCUGUUCGUUGCGAAGGAGGCGGGGCUUGUGCUGGCUGCGCCUGGAGCCUUCUCGAGGCCCCGGCCGAUUUGCUGCUGCCUGAACGGCCGAGAGGGACGUGCGGGCAGCUCAACGGCGUGACGCAGGUAACUCUUUUCCUGUUUGCAGUAAAAAUGGCAGAAGCAAUUGCUGACCCUCCAGAGAAGCUUGUUGUUAUCCACUCCAAGGCUCACAGAGAUACCAUUCUAGCUAAUUUUGCAGAACAAAGGAAAAAGAAUUUUCUUUGUGAUAUCACUUUAAUAGUAGAGGAUGUGCACUUCAGAGCCCACAAAGCUUUACUUGCUGCCAGCAGUGAGUACUUUUCAAUGAUGUUUGUAGAUGAGGGAGAGAUAAGCCAAUCAAUUUAUAUGUUGGAGGGAAUGGUUGCAGACACUUUUGGUGCACUACUGGAAUUUAUCUACACAGGUUAUCUCCAUUCCAAUGAAAAAAGCAUGGAACAAAUACUGGCAACUGCACAGCUCCUAAAAGUGAAUGAUUUAGUAUGGGCACAUGCAGAUUAUCAGACCAACCAUAGCCCAAAUAAUCCUCUCACAUCUAGUAGUGGUGCUUCAGUAGUUGUCUUUGCAAAUGACAAGAAAAAUGGAGAUCCACCAAAGCGAAAACGAGGAAGACCAAGAAAAGUCAAGAAUGCUCAAGAGGAAAAAUUUGGGACAUCUUCUGUUGAAGAUGUGCAGCUAAGAGAGAACAAUUCAGUGCGAAAUAAACAAAAUUUUAUGAAAAAAGUUGCAGCGGAAGAAACUGUUGCCAGUGAACAAGUUCCAGUAAGGAAAGAAGUGGAAGAAACUGAGCCAGCUUGUGGUUCAGAAGCUGCUGUAGAUCUAUCAGCUGAGAAGGAUGAGAAUUAUGAUCCUAAAUCUCAAGGAAUACAGAGCAAUCAGAGUCGUUAUAGCAAACGUAGAAUACGGAGGUCUAUCAAGCUAAAAGAUUAUAAACUUGUUGGUGAUGAAGAUGGAAAAGUAUUGACAAAGAGAACUGAUAGAAAAAGAAAACGCACAGGUUCUGAAGCUUGUUGCAAAGAAUGUGGCAAAGUGUUUAAAUAUAAUCACUUUUUAGCUAUUCAUCAGAGAAGUCAUACAGGAGAACGCCCUUUUAAAUGCAAUGAAUGUGGUAAAGGCUUUUCCCAGAAGCACUCUCUUCAGGUUCAUGAGCGGAUGCAUACUGGAGAGCGACCAUAUACCUGUACUGUCUGUAGUAAAGCUUUAACAACAAAACAUUCUCUUUUGGAACAUAUGAGCCUACACACAGGACAGAAGGCUUUUACGUGUGAUCAGUGUGGAAAGUAUUUUAGCCAAAAGAGACAACUGAAGAGUCAUUACCGAGUGCACACAGGCCAUUCAUUGCCGGAAUGUAACCAGUGUCAUCGCAAAUUCAUGGAUGCAGCUCAGUUAAAGAAACAUCUAAGAACACAUACAGGUGAGAAGCCAUUUACUUGUGAAAUCUGUGGCAAGUCAUUCACAGCAAAAAGUUCUCUUCAGACUCACAUCAGAAUCCACAGAGGGGAAAAGCCAUAUUCUUGUGGUAUAUGUGGAAAAUGUUUCUCGGAUUCCAGUGCAAAGAGGAGACACUGUAUCUUACACACAGGCAAAAAGCCUUUCUCCUGCCCAGAGUGUAAUUUGCAGUUUGCCCGCUUGGACAAUUUGAAGUCUCAUUUGAAAAUUCACAGCAAAGAAAAACAAUUGCAAGAAUCAAGCACUGCUCCUAGCAACAGCAAUAGCUCAGAGGAGGUCAGAAACAUUCUUCAGCUGCAGCAAUAUCAACUGUCCACGUCUGGAGGACAAGAGAUUCAGUUGCUUGUCACAGAUUCAGUACAUAAUAUAAACUUUAUACCUAGUCAUAAUCAAGGUAUUAGUAUUGUUACUGCUGAGAACUCCCAAAAUAUGACAGCAGGCCAGGCUGCUAAUCUUACGCUAAUCACUCAACCACCACAACAGCUGCAGAACUUGCUUCUUGCAGCUCAGCAGGAACAAGUAGAACAAAUCCAAAGUAUCAAUAUGAUGGAGAACCAAAUAGAGACUACACAAUCUGAGCAAAUGCAUGUCAUCACUCUUUCAAAGGAAACACUAGCACAUCUUCAUGCCCAUCAGGGGCAAACUGAAGAACUUCAUCUAGCAACAGGAGCUCAGCACAUGCAGCUGACCCAGGAACCUAGUCGUCAGUCUCAUACUAACCAAGAUGCAGUCCAGCCCCAUCAAAUUAGUGAAGAACAGAACCAAAAUGUACACAUUUCUGAAUCACAUCCGGCAUCUUUGUCCAUAAACCACCCAUCUCAUGAGCAUCAGAUUCAAGAAUUUACCUGAAGCUGCCACAAAACUUCCAGUAUAUCUCAGAAACAAAGCAGUCUUGCCACUUAAAUUCAACAUACCACGCUCUGAAGGGAUCUUGGCUGUGUAGUCAUCCUAUAGAGGAAAAAAAGCUGCCAGGAUCUUCAGUCAAGGCAACAAACUUCAUGAUCAACAUGGACCAUUGAUACUGAUUUUCAACAAAACUUGGAACAUUGGGGAAGUUCUAGAGGCCUAGAAGAAAACUAAAGCUGUGCCAAUAUUUAAAAAGGGUAAAUGGGAGAUGAUGCAGGUAAUUAUAGUCCUGUCAACCCAACAUUGACCCUUGGCAAAAUAAUGGAAUGGUGAUAUGGAACUUAAUAACAAAGAUAAUAUAAUCAAUACCAAUUAUCACUACCUGCCCUUUCUUGGCGUGGUACACCUUAUUCAACACCAGUGUCUGAGUUGCUCAUACAGCCUUUUAUGCCCUCUAAUCUUCCUCUCAGGAUGCUUGCCUAUAAAUAUCAGAUGAUCCUGACAGCUUUUCUUAACUUUAUUUCAAAGGUCUUGCAUCUCUUCAGAACGCACUGACUGACUCUCUGUCUUCUGGGUUUGAAAAACUACUAAACUUGUAUUUAACCAGAUUAAACAAUUCGGUUCAGUCACCCUUCUCCUUCUUAUUCCACUGAGGAAAGUGUUUUCUUAUAAAAGCCCAACGGUGCUUCCCUUCCUAAUUCCAUGACUGCCUCUCUGAUCAUGCUGUUCAUCUCCUCAGAAGUCAGUCUGAGGAUAUUUCAACUUCAGAUACCCCAGAGUUCCAAAUGAGCAGUCUUGGUGGAGCUUCCAUCUAGGUGUCCAAGCCUCUGUGUCUCCAUGUACCCAGUGGCAUAUUUGUUUUGGUAUUCAUCCCACAACAUACCUCAUAAUACAAUUUCUCUUAAGUUAUCCUGUAACAACAUCUCAUAACAAACCAUUUCAAGUUAACGUAUGCCCUUCUGCACACCAAUCAAUGUGGUUUUGUGGAACAUAGAUCUUCUCAACCCAGCUUUUUGUAUGAGAUUACAAAUUUGCUAAAGGUAAUGUCAAUGUAAUUUACUUGGAUUUCUUUAAGGCAUUUGACUUGCUACUGCAUAACGUUUUGAUUAAGAAACUAGACUGAUAUAAAAUCAACAUGGCACAUAGUAAAUGUAUUAAAAACUUGCUGAAUGAUAGGCCCCACUAUAAUUGUAAAUGGGAAACUGUCACUGUGCAGGUGUGUUUCUAGUGAGAUCCUACAGAGUUUGGUUCUUGGCCCUAUGCUAUUUAACAUUUUCAUCAAUGACCUGGGAAAAAAAACAAUUACUGCAAGUUUGCAAAUGACAGAUAUUGGUGGAGUGGUAAAUAAUGAAGAGGACAGAUCACUAAUAUGGAGUGAUUGGGAUUGGUAAACUGGGCACAAGCAAAUAUACAUUUUAAUACAGCUAAAUGUAAUUGUAUACAUCUAGGAACAAAGAAGGUAGGGCCCUACUAACAGGAUGGGGGACUAUCUUGGGAAGCAGUGUCUCUCAAAAGCACUUGGGGGCCAUGGUGGAUAAUUAACUGAAUGCGAGGCUGGGGCCAGGAGGGAUAAUACAAUCUUUGGAUGUACAAAGAAGGGAAUGUUGAGUUAUUUUACCUCUGUAUUGGCAUUGGUGCAGCUGCUGCCGGAAUAUUGUGUCCAGCUCUAGUUACUCUUGGGGGAAUUUGGUGCCACUGCGUGUGGGCAUAAUUAAUGAGCCAAGCAUUUUUUUAACUUUUUGCACAGAAAAAAGCUUCUGCUGGAAUGUUGCUGCAGUUCUGUCUUUUGCCCACCAGAGGGUGCUGUGGUGCUAGAACAGAGCACCAGCUCCCAGCAAAAAAUAACUUCUGCAGUUCUGCCUUUUGCCCACUGUGGGCACUGUGGCACUAAACACAGCAGCUGCUCCCAGCCAGCUAGGGAAGAGAAGGAGCCUGCCUUCUUCACAACACUUGUCGGGCCAGGUCAGGAGACAGGGGCUAUGGGGAGACAGACAGCGUGGGGCUGCUGAGGGGUCAGACAGGCUCAUAAGGGCUACUGGGGGAGGACAGACCGGGGCAGGAGCUGAAUGGAAGUGAAGAUGCAGGGUCACAUGGGCAGAGGUGGUGCGGAGCUACAAGGGAUCGGCAGUGGCUGAGUAGGGGCAGAGAGACACAUGGGCUGCAGGGACACAGGAACAGGGCGGUGGGAGUGGAAGGACACGUGGAUGGAGGGAGUGAGGGUGGAGGGACACGUGGACAAUCGUGUUCAAGGACAAUCGGGGUGCAGGGAUACAUGGGGAUGGGGCAGAUGUGCCUGACUGAAUGGGAGAGGGUAGGGGUCAGCCAGGGACUGCGUGGGGGAAGCUCCCUAAUAGUCCUGUUUCUCUUCCCCUCCCCCCCCCCCAAAAAAACAAACAAACCUGUUCCAUACUUUUCCCACUCCCACCCAUCCACCUUCCAAGUUCACACCCAGACUCCUUACCAGCAAUUACUUUUCUCUCCCUCAGCUCCUCCAUUACCCCUGACUCUACAAAACCUUUGCACUGCUUCUGAGGGGUGAGAGAAAUAUGGUUCUGUAUUGAAGUUUAAAUGAAUUAUUACUCAGAGUUCUGUAUUAAUAUGCCUAGUAAGGAAUCUAUUUGUCAAAAAACAUUUUCUGAAUCUUUGUUGUCUCUAUUAUUAGACAUACUUGCUGACGGGUAUUUUGAAAUAAAUGACAAAAAAUAAUUGCAACUGGUGUGAUGUGUUGUUUUGACAAAAUAUGCAAAAUUUUGCAGAAUUUGAAAAUAUUGCAUACAGAAUUUUUAGGUUUUUUGGUGCAGAAUUCCCCCCAGCAUUGAUGCCCACAAUUCAAGAAGAGUUUGGAGAAGAGCCAUGAGAAUGACUAAAGGAUUGGCGAACAUGCAUUAUAGUAAAAGAUGCAUGUCAAUCUGUUUAGCUUAACGAAGAAGUUUAAGGGGUAUUUUGUUCACAAUAUACAAGUAUGGGGAACAGAAAUUUGAUGAGAGGGAUCUUCAGUCUAACAGAUGAACAUAUAACAAGAUCUAAUGGCUAGAAGGUGAAGCUAGACUGGGGUGGGCAAACUUUUUGGCCUGAGGGCCACAUCUGGGUAUGGAAAUUGUAUGGCGGGCCAUGAAUGCUCACAAAAUUAUUCAUGUUCA